AGAGUUUGAUCAUGGCUCAGGAUGAACGCUAGCGGCAGGCUUAACACAUGCAAGUCGAGGGGCAGCGAGAUCAGUGCUUGCACUGAUUGUCGGCGACCGGCGCACGGGUGCGUAACGCGUAUGCAACCUACCCAUUACAGGGGGAUAACACUGAGAAAUCGGUACUAAUACCCCAUAACAUCCAGGGAGGCAUCUUCUUGGGUUGAAAACUCCGGUGGUAAUGGAUGGGCAUGCGUUGUAUUAGUUAGUUGGUGGGGUAACGGCUCACCAAGACCACGAUACAUAGGGGGACUGAGAGGUUAACCCCCCACAUUGGUACUGAGACACGGACCAAACUCCUACGGGAGGCAGCAGUGAGGAAUAUUGGUCAAUGGACGCAAGUCUGAACCAGCCAUGCCGCGUG
rnacentral:rRNA from 1 species